rnacentral:rRNA from 1 species
UACAGAGGGUGCAAGCGUUUGUUCGGAAUUAUUGGGCGUAAAGCGCGUGUAGGCGGCAGUGCAAGUCGGGUGUGAAAGCCCUCAGCUCAACUGAGGAAGUGCGCCCGAAACUGCAUUGCUUGAGUACCGGAGAGGAUGGUGGAAUUCCCGAAGUAGAGGUGAAAUUCGUAGAUAUCGGGAGGAACACCGGGUGGCGAAGGCGACCAUCUGGACGGAUACUGACGCUGAGACGCGAAAGCGUGGGUAGCAAACAGG